GCACUCGUAGCUCAGUAGGAUAGAGCGUCCCCCUCCUAAGGGGAAGGCCGGGGGUUCGAUUCCUCUCGAGUGUACCA
rnacentral:tRNA from 1 species